GAUGAAGAACGCAGCGAAAUGCGAUAAGUAAUGUGAAUUGCAGAAUUCAGUGAAUCAUCGAAUCUUUGAACGCACCUUGCGCCCUUUGGCCAUUCCGAAGGGCAUGCCUGUUUGAGUAUCAUGAACACCUCAACUCUUUAUGGUUUUCCAUGAUGAGCUUGGACUCUGGGGGUUUUGCUGGCUCACAGUCGGCUCCUCUAAAAUGAAUCAGCUUACCAGUGUUUGGUGGGUAUCAUGGGUGUGAUAACUAUCUACGCUUGUGGUUUUUCCACCAGGUAACCUCCAGUGAUGGAGGUUCGCUGGAGCUCACAAAUGUCUCUCCUCAGCGAGGACAGCUUUUUGAACGUUUGAUCUCAAAUCAGGUAGGACUACCCGCUGAACUUAAGCAUAUCAAUAAGCGGAGGA
rnacentral:misc_RNA from 1 species